rnacentral:rRNA from 1 species
GGAAUUCGUGGUGUAGCGGUGAAAUGCUUAGAUAUCACGAAGAACUCCGAUUGCGAAGGCAGCUCACUGGAGCGCAACUGACGCUGAAGCUCGAAAGUGCGGGUAUCGAACAGGAUUAGAUACCCUGGUAGUCCGCACGGUAAACGAUGGAUGCCCGCUGUUGGUCUGAAUAGGUCAGCGGCCAAGCGAAAGCAUUAAGCAUCCCACCUGGGGAGUACGCCGGCAACGGUGAAACUCAAAGGAAUUGACGGGGGCCCGCACAAGCGGAGGAACAUGUGGUUUAAUUCGAUGAUACGCGAGGAACCUUACCCGGGCUUGAAUUGCAGAGGAAGGAUUUGGAGACAAUGACGCCCUUCGGGGUCUCUGUGAAGGUGCUGCAUGGUUGUCGUCAGCUCGUGCCGUGAGGUGUCGGCUUAAGUGCCAUAACGAGCGCAACCCCUCUCCUUAGUUGCCAUCAGGUCAUGCUGGGCACUCUGGGGACACUGCCACCGUAAGGUGUGAGGAAGGUGGGGAUGACGUCAAAUCAGCACGGCCCUUACGUCCGGGGCUACACACGUGUUACAAUGGCAGGUACAGAGAGAUGGUCCCUUGCAAAACGGAUCAAAUCCUUAAAGCCUGUCUCAGUUCGGACUGGGGUCUGCAACCCGACCCCACGAAGCUGGAUUCGCUAGUAAUCGCGCAUCAGCCAUGGCGCGGUGAAUACGUUCCCGGGCCUUGUACACACCGCCCGUCAAGCCAUGAAAGCCGGGGGCGCCUAAAGUCCGUGACCGUAAGGAGCGGCCUAGGGCGAAACUGGUAAUUGGGGCUAAGUCGUAACAAGGUAGCCGUACCGGAAGGUGCGGCUG